rnacentral:rRNA from 1 species
GACGAACGCUGGCGGCGUGCUUAACACAUGCAAGUCGAGCGGAAAACUUCGGUUUUCAGCGGCGGACGGGUGAGUAACACGUGGGCAACCUGCCUCACAAUGAGGGAUAGCCUUCCGAAAGGAAGAUUAAUACCUCAUAACACAAGAGAAACGCAUGUUUCUCUUGCCAAAGAAUUUCGUUGUGAGAUGGGCCCGCGGCGCAUUAGCUUGUUGGUGAGGUAACGGCUCACCAAGGCUUCGAUGCGUAGCCGACCUGAGAGGGUGAUCGGCCACAUUGGGACUGAGGCACGGGCCAGACUCCUACGGGAGGCAGCAGUGGGGAAUAUUGCACAAUGGAGGAAACUCUGAUGCAGCAACGCCGCGUGAGUGAUGAAGGUCUGCGGAUUGUAAAACUCUGUCUUCUGGGACGAUAAUGACGGUACCAGAGGAGGAAGCCACGGCUAACUACGUGCCAGCCGCCGCAGUAA